rnacentral:rRNA from 1 species
AUACGUAGGGGGCAAGCGUUAUCCGGAUUUACUGGGUGUAAAGGGAGCGUAGGUGGCAAAUCAAGUCAGAUGUGAAAGCCCGGGGCUCAACCCCGGGAUUGCAUUUGAAACUGAUAUGCUAGAGUGCAGGAGAGGUAAGUGGAAUUCCUAGUGUAGCGGUGAAAUGCGUAGAUAUUAGGAGGAACACCAGUGGCGAAGGCGGCUUACUGGACUGUAACUGACACUGAGGCUCGAAAGCGUGGGGAGCAAACAGGAUUAGAUACCCUGGUAGUCCACGCUGUAAACGAUGAAUACUAGGUGUUGGGGGUCAAAAGACCCUCGGUGCCGUCGCAAACGCAUUAAGUAUUCCACCUGGGGAGUACGUUCGCAAGAAUGAA